GACGAACGCUGGCGGCGUGCCUAAUACAUGCAAGUAGAACGCUGAAGGAGGAGCUUGCUCUUCUGGAUGAGUUGCGAACGGGUGAGUAACGCGUAGGUAACCUGCCUGGUAGCGGGGGAUAACUAUUGGAAACGAUAGCUAAUACCGCAUAACAGUAGAUGUUGCAUGACAUUUACUUAAAAGGUGCAAUUGCAUCACUACCAGAUGGACCUGCGUUGUAUUAGCUAGUUGGUGGGGUAACGGCUCACCAAGGCGACGAUACAUAGCCGACCUGAGAGGGGGAUCGGCCACACUGGGACUGAGACACGGCCCAGACUCCUACGGGAGGCGGCAGUAGGGAAUCUUCGGCAAUGGACGGAAGUCUGACCGAGCAACGCCGCGUGAGUGAAGAAGGUUUUCGGAUCGUAAAGCUCUGUUGUAAGAGAAGAACGAGUGUGAGAGUGGAAAGUUCACACUGUGACGGUAUCUUACCAGAAAGGGACGGCUAACUACGUG
rnacentral:rRNA from 1 species